UACGAAGGGGGCUAGCGUUGUUCGGAAUUACUGGGCGUAAAGCGCGUGUAGGCGGGUCUUUAAGUCAGGGGUGAAAUCCUGGAGCUCAACUCCAGAACUGCCUUUGAUACUGAGGAUCUUGAGUCCGGGAGAGGUGAGUGGAACUGCGAGUGUAGAGGUGAAAUUCGUAGAUAUUCGCAAGAACACCAGUGGCGAAGGCGGCUCACUGGCCCGGUACUGACGCUGAGGCACGAAAGCGUGGGGAGCAAACAGG
rnacentral:rRNA from 1 species